GAGAAUUAUUACUAUUUGGACAAAGGACACAGAGACCUGAAAGACACACACACAAAAAAAAAAAAAAAGAGAAUAACUGGAUCAUUUCCAUAAACCAAUGUUUUCAAAUGUAAGUUUUCUAGCUGUGGUUAUCCAGAAUGUGGGUGUUUUCAGAGAUCAGCUCCAUCAGUCCAUCACAUCAAAGCCAUUUAAAAAAGAAGUUAUUAAGUCUCCUUAGUGGCUCAGAAAGGGUCAUCCCAGAUCAUGACUAGAACAGUGCAGAGGUUGUGUUAAACCAUGAAGGCAGAUCCAAAGAUCCACACUGUCUCCCUGAUAACAACUUCCAGUUCCCCAGAAGGCUGACCAAGAGGGGCACCCCAUGGCUGAGCAGAUGGGACACCCUGCAAACCAGGUCUUGAGCCACCACAUAUCAACCCCCUCGAGCAGGCAGGAGCUGCAAACUCCAACCACAAAAAAUGACAAUAAAAAUACAACUUUCUAAAGAAAAGCAGCUUUUUUUUUUGUUUGCUCUGAAGGUUAUCAAAGAAAAAAUGCAGCAGUUGGAAAAAAGUAGCAUAUUUUCUUACAAAUCUUUCCAGCCAGGGAGGUUCCCCCUCAGGCUGCUGGGACGGAGCCUCCUUGCAAAGCUCACCAUGAGAAGGUCAGGGGGUCUCUGAGACCUGUCACUGCAGGUACCAGCCUGUUCCUGCUGCCACAGCAGUGGUGUGACUCCCUGCACUACGGUGACUUAAAGCUGCUGCAACAUCCCCCUCACCCUUCAGGACACCCGAUGCCAGCCCAGGGCGGUGGGUUUGGGAGCUCUGGGCAGUGUCACACAGGCCAAGAUGUUUGCAGGGUCCCUCCCUGGAGCUCACCUUUGUU